rnacentral:rRNA from 2 species
UCUGGCGGCAGUAGCGCGGUGGUCCCACCUGACCCCAUGCCGAACUCAGAAGUGAAACGCCGUAGCGCCGAUGGUA